rnacentral:rRNA from 1 species
GAUGAACGCUGGCGGCGUGCCUAAUACAUGCAAGUCGAGCGAACGGACGAGAAGCUUGCUUCUCUGAUGUUAGCGGCGGACGGGUGAGUAACACGUGGAUAACCUACCUAUAAGACUGGGAUAACUUCGGGAAACCGGAGCUAAUACCGGAUGAUAUUUUGAACCGCAUGGUUCAAAAGUGAAAGACGGUCUUGCUGUCACUUAUAGAUGGAUCCGCGCUGCAUUAGCUAGUUGGUAAGGUAACGGCUUACCAAGGCAACGAUGCAUAGCCGACCUGAGAGGGUGAUCAGCCACACUGGAACUGAGACACGGUCCAGACUCCUACGGGAGGCAGCAGUAGGGAAUAUUCCGCAAUGGGCGCAAGCCUGACGGAGCAACGCCGCGUGAGUGAUGAAGGUCUUCGGAUCGUAAAACUCUGUUAUUAGGGAAGAACAUAUGUGUAAGUAACUGUGCACAUCUUGACGGUACCUAAUCAGAAAGCCACGGCUAACUACGUG